rnacentral:rRNA from 1 species
CUGCAGUCGAACGAUUAAAGCUCCCUUCGGGGAGUGCAUAAAGUGGCGCACGGGUGAGUAACACGUAAGUAAUCUACCUUCGAGUGGGGAAUAACCCGGGGAAACCCGAGCUAAUACCGCAUAAUGCAGCGGCACCUAAUGGUGACAGUUGUUAAAGGAGCAAUCCGCUUGAAGAGGAGCUUGCGGCAGAUUAGCUUGUUGGUAAGGUAACGGCUUACCAAGGCUACGAUCUGUAUCCGGUCUAAGAGGACGGUCGGACACACUGACACUGAAUAACGGGUCAGACUCCUACGGGAGGCAGCAGUCGGGAAUUUUGGGCAAUGGGGGAAACCCUGACCCAGCAACGCCGCGUGAAGGAUGAAGUAUUUCGGUAUGUAAACUUCGAAAGAAUAGGAAGAAUUAAUGACGGUACUAUUUAUAAGGUCCGGCUAACUACGUGCCAGCAGCCGCGGUAAUACGUAGGGACCAAGCGUUGUUCGGAUUUACUGGGCGUAAAGGGCGCGUAGGCGGCGCGGUAAGUCACUUGUGAAAUCUCUGAGCUUAACUCAGAAUGGCCAAGUGAUACUGCAGUGCUAGAGUGUGGAAGGGGCAAUCGGAAUUCUUGGUGUAGCGGUGAAAUGCGUAGAUAUCAAGAGGAACACCUGAGGUGAAGACGGGUUGCUGGGCCAACACUGACGCUGAGGCGCGAAAGCCAGGGGAGCAAACGGGAUUAGAUACCCCGGUAGUCCUGGCCCUAAACGAUGAAUACUUGGUGUCUGGAGUUUUAAUGCUCCGGGUGCCGUCGCUAA